rnacentral:lncRNA from 1 species
UUUAAAAAUAUGUGUGUCUGUGUGGGGAUAUACACACCAUAAAUGUGCAGUACCCACAGAGACUAGAAGAGGGCAGAUAUUUAAAUUAUGAUUCCUAACACUAACACAAUUAGUUAUGAUGUAGCACAGAAAAUAAUUUUGUGGUGGUGGUGGGGAGUCACAAAAACAUGAGGAAGUUAUGAAAGGGUCACAGCAUUAGGAAGAUUAGUAUUGGCUUAGAGGCACCCCCCACAGGGAAUGUCCUGCAAGGCUGUGGUUUCUCAAGAAUCAGGAAUCUGUCCUCUACUGAAUCCAUUCCAUCUUCCCUCACCCUCAUUACAUUGAUUCCACAUCUUCUGAAGAGGCUCUGUUUUCUGCCCUACAAACUAGGAUGUCUUCCAAAAUCUUUGUCAGCCUGGGCAUGGGAGAGAAGAACAAUUUCCUUUAAAGCAGUGAUUGGCAAGCUGCUUAGGUCUAAAGUGUAUCUAUAUUCCUGGGAUAAGCUGUUUGUACAGGGCAGGCCUCUGGCCACUUUAUACAUAUCUAGGCAUGUGAGGUAACCUGGUCUCUGUGACAUAAAGAGUCCUCUGUGAGGUGACCAGACUUCUGUGAGGUAAUCAGGCUUCUGUAAGGUGAUCAGUUCUUUCUGUGGGGACUCAGCAUCUAUGAAGUGACCAGUGCUCUGUAACUGUGAGGUAAUUAGUCCUUUGGGAAGUGACCAGUCCACUGUGCGGUGACCAGGCCUCUCUAAGUUCACCAGGUCUCUGUGAAUCCUCUCUUGACAAGUCCUCUGUGAAGUGACCAGUCCUCUGUGAAGUGACCAGUCCUCUGUGAGGUUACUAGUCCUCUGUGAGGUGACCAGACCUCUGUGAGUUGACCAGUUCUUUGUGAGGUGGCCAGGCCUCUAUAAAUUCACCAGGUCUCUGUGAAUUGACCAGUCCUCUGUGAGGUAGCCAGGCCUCUGUGAGUUGAACAGUUCUCUGUGAGAUAAUUAGUCCUCUGUGAGGUGACCAGGACUCUGUGCAGUGACCAGGCCUCUCUAAGUUCACCGGGUCUCUGUAAAUUGACAAGUCCUCUGUGAGGUGACCAGUCCUCUGUGAGGUGACCAGUCCUCUGUGAGGUGACCAGUCCUCUGUGAGGUUACGAGUCCUCUGUGAGGUGACUAGGCCUCUGUGAACUGACCAGUUCUCUGUGAGGUGGCCAGGCCUCUCUAAAUUCACCAUGUCUCUGUGAAUUGACCAGUCUUCUGUGAGAUAGCUAGGCCUCUGUGAGUUGACCAAUUCUCUGUGAGGUAAUUAGUCCUCUGGGAGUUGACCAGUCCUCUGGGAGGUGACCAGUCCUCUGUGAAGUGAGCCAGUCCUCUGUGAGGUUACUAGUCCUCUGGGAGGUGACCAGACCUCUGUGAGUUGAUCAGUCUUCUGUGAGGUUUCCAGGCUUCUGCGAUAUGAUCAGGCUUCUGUGAGAUGACCCAGUCCUCUCCUAGGUGACCAGACCUCUGUGAGGUAACCCAGUCCCCCUGAUGAUCAGGCCUCUGUGAGGUGACCAAGUCCUCUGUGAGGUAACCAAGCCUUUGUGAGAUGAUCAGGCCUAUGUGAGGUAACCAGGCCUCUGUUAGAUAACCAGGACUCUGGGAGGUGACCAGGCCUCUGUUAGUUGAUCGGUCUUCUAUGAAGUAACCAGUCCUCUGUGAGAAACCCAGGGCUCUGUGAGGUAGCCAGGACUCUAUGAGGUGAUUGGGCCUCUGUGAGCUCAUCAGGUCUCUGUUAAUUGAAAAGUCCUCUGUGAGGUGACCAGGCCUCUGUUAGUUUACCAGUCAUCUAUGAAGUGACCAGUCUUCUGUGAGAAAACCAGUCCUCUGUGAGGUGACCCAGUCCUCUGUGACUUGACCAGGCCUAUGUGUGGUGAUCAGGCCUAUGUGUGGUGGUCAAUCCUUGGUGACUGUGAGGUAGCCAGGCCUCGGUGAGGCAAGUAGACCUCUGUGAGGUGACCAGUCCUUGUAAGGUAACCAGACCUCUGUGAGGUGACCUGGUCUUUGUAAGGUAGCCAGGCCUCUAUGAGUUGACCAAUCCUCUAUGAGGUGACCAUUUCUCUGUGAGGUAACUAGGCCUCUGUGAAGUGACCAGGCCUCUGUGAGGUUACCAGGCCUGUGUGAGUUCAUCAGGUCUUUGUGAAUUGACCAGUCAUCUGUGAGGUAGCCAGGCCUCUGUGAGGCUACCAGUCUUCUCUGAGGUGACCUGUUCUCUGUGAGGCGUCCUGUCCUCUGUGAGGUGACCCAGCCCUUUAUGAGUUGGCCAGGCCUAUGCUUGGUGACCAGUCCUCUGUAAGGUUAGUAAGCCAGGGUGAGGCCACAGGGUCUCUUGGAGCUUCCUACUGUGUCUUUCCUUUUAGAUAGAGCAGGACAGAUCUGACAGCCUUAGGCUGGACCUGGGAGUGAGGCAGGAAGCUGCCUUUCUGGGUCGCAGGCUGUGGCCCUCUGGGAGAGCAGGUGGAGGCGUACCUUCUUUCCCAGCUGCCAUUCUGUUCCAUGGAUGAUGCUGGCAAGUCCCAAACCCUCUCCAGCUAUCAAGAUGAACACCUUGCAGAAGAAAGAAGUCUGCCGCAGAGAAAGACGACUGGACGGGGCAGCUGGGAAGGGUUCUUACCACCAAGCCUGAGGCCCAAGUUUGAUCCCUAAAGCUCACACAGCAAAAGGAGUGGAACGGCUCCUGAAAGCUACCCUCUGACCUCUAUCUUAUGUCUCCUUCACAAAGAAACAAAUCAAGAUAAAUAAAUAAAUGUAUGCAGUUUUAA